rnacentral:misc_RNA from 1 species
AAAAUUGUUUGUCAAGUGGAAAAAUCAAAUUCAAAUAUAGAAAUAAAGAAGUGGAAGGCCAUAGUUUCCACUGCAUUAGCAGCUGCAGUGAUUACAUUUAGCUCAAACAUGGCUGCUAUGGCUGACUUAAAUAAGUUUGAGGCAGAUACAAGGGGUGAAUUUGGUAUUGGUUCUGCUGCUCAAUUUGGUUCUGCUGACCUAAAGAAAACAGUUCAUACAAAUGAAAACUUCAGAAGAGCCAAU